rnacentral:rRNA from 1 species
AUUGAACGCUGGCGGCAGGCCUAACACAUGCAAGUCGAGCGGUAGAGAGGAGCUUGCUUCUCUUGAGAGCGGCGGACGGGUGAGUAAUGCCUAGGAAUCUGCCUAGUGGUGGGGGAUAACGUUCGGAAACGGACGCUAAUACCGCAUACGUCCUACGGGAGAAAGCGGGGGAUCUUCGGACCUCGCGCCAUUAGAUGAGCCUAGGUCGGAUUAGCUAGUUGGUGAGGUAAUGGCUCACCAAGGCGACGAUCCGUAACUGGUCUGAGAGGAUGAUCAGUCACACUGGAACUGAGACACGGUCCAGACUCCUACGGGAGGCAGCAGUGGGGAAUAUUGGACAAUGGGCGAAAGCCUGAUCCAGCCAUGCCGCGUGUGUGAAGAAGGUCUUCGGAUUGUAAAGCACUUUAAGUUGGGAGGAAGGGUUGUAGAUUAAUACUCUGCAAUUUUGACGUUACCGACAGAAUAAGCACCGGCUAACUUCGUG